GGGGAAUUUUCCGCAAUGGGCGCAAGCCUGACGGAGCAACGCCGCGUGAGGGAGGAAGGCCUGUGGGUUGUAAACCUCUUUUCUCAAGGAAGAACACAAUGACGGUACUUGAGGAAUCAGCAUCGGCUAACUCCGUGCCAGCAGCCGCGGUAAGACGGAGGAUGCAANNNUUAUCCGGAAUUAUUGGGCGUAAAGCGUCCGUAGGUGGUUAUAAAAGUCUGNNNNNNAAGCCCACAGCUCAACUGUGGAUCGGCAAUGNNNACUGUAUGACUUGAGUGUGGUAGGGGUAGAGGGAAUUCCUAGUGUAGCGGUGAAAUGCGUAGAUAUUAGGAAGAACACCAGUGGCGAAGGCGCUAUACUGGGCCAUAACUGACACUGAUGGACGAAAGCUAGGGGAGCGAAAGGGAUUAGAUACCCCUGUAGU
rnacentral:rRNA from 1 species